rnacentral:ncRNA from 2 species
AGCAGCAGCUAGGGGUCCGUUUCCGGCGCUGGCCGGCAAACUGGUGAGAGAGUCCCUUACUACCUGACACGGAUAAUGCCGCCGUAGGGAAGCUGGGACCUGCCGUC